UACGUAGGGUGCAAGCGUUGUCCGGAAUUAUUGGGCGUAAAGAGCUCGUAGGCGGUUUGUCGCGUCGGCUGUGAAAACCUGGGGCUCAACCCCGGGCCUGCAGCCGAUACGGGCAAACUAGAAUUCGGUAGGGGAGACUGGAAUUCCUGGUGUAGCGGUGAAAUGCGCAGAUAUCAGGAGGAACACCGGUGGCGAAGGCGGGUCUCUGGGCCGAUAUUGACGCUGAGACGCGAAAGCGUGGGGAGCAAACAGG
rnacentral:rRNA from 1 species